CAGCCGCCGCGGUAAUACGAAGGGUGCAAGCGUUAAUCGGAAUUACUGGGCGUAAAGCGUGCGCAGGCGGUUGUGUAAGACAGGUGUGAAAUCCCCGGGCUUAACCUGGGAACUGCGCUUGUGACUGCACAGCUAGAGUAUGGCAGAGGGGGGUGGAAUUCCACGUGUAGCAGUGAAAUGCGUAGAGAUGUGGAGGAACACCGAUGGCGAAGGCGGCCCCCUGGGCCAAUACUGACGCUCAUGCACGAAAGCGUGGGGAGCAAACAGGAUUAGAUACCCGCGUAGUCCCUGUCUCUUAUAA
rnacentral:rRNA from 1 species